CUAUAAAAUAAGACUCAAUAUUGACGCUUGAUCUUUCUUAAAUAAACGGCCAGAUCUUCAAUCUAAUUUCCUUAGGUAAUUAACGUUAUAUUAGGUAUUAGGAUAGAAAAGUAAUUUUAGAAUUUUAAUAGUAUCGUUUCCUUAAAUUAAGGGAUUACUUUUAAGUUAAUAUCUAACAUUCCAUAGAUACAAAACUAAUCUAACCUAUAUGAGCAAGGA
rnacentral:lncRNA from 1 species